ensembl:lncRNA
UACAGUUGCAUCUUGCUCCGGCUGCCAAAGACAGGAGCAGUUAGGGCAGUUGGGGAUGGGUGCAAAGAUGCCCCAGGUUGCCACUGGCGACACCGUUAUGAAGUCACUCCAGGGUUCCGGCCGUGGCAACGAGCCCACCAAGAGCAACAAACGCCUCUGCGCAGUGCUCCUGCUCUUGCCAGGCUCUGCAAGGGGACACAGCUGACCAACAGACCGCUUUGCUGCUGCUGAGAUGGCAGACAGCCUGCAGAGCACAAGGAACAAGAGGCAUCUGGGAACUGAGGCUUUGUGAAAUCCGUCCAUUGGGUGAUGUUUGCCUGGAGGGCGGAAGACUUCUCAGCCCAGCCAAGGGCACAGAGAGCCAUCCCCCAGCCUGUGCCAGCCUUCCAGCUGCAAGAGUCUGCUCAUGGCACUGAUGGCACAGCUCCAACCUUGGGCACAGCGCAGGACGACAUCACUGAGCUGUGCAGAUGCUUCAUGCGGCUGAGCAUUGGAGCCAAGCAGAUGCACAUCAAUGAUGGCCACAAAACCACUGCUUGUACCAGCCAUAACCUGCAAAAACCAAAGGCAUCAGAACUGGUGAGCCAAGCCUUGAGGUCUGUUGGUCCCGUGCGUGUCCCAUUCCAACAUGGGAGUCCUGUGCUGCGCGCCGAUCAGUGCCAGCUCAGCCAGGAGCUGUGCGCGAUGCAGAGCGCACUGAUGGCCAUCAUGGAGCCACCAACUGCUACCAAGAAAGCAGCAGCAGAUGGGCCAGCAGAACGCAUCUGCCCACAUCCAUGUCCGGCUCAGCCCAGGAAGCGCAAGCACUGUGCUGGGAGAGAGCACCGCCAUGGCAGCCAGGAUGAGGAAUCUGCAGACGAACUGCAGCAGGCGUUUAGACACAAGGCGAAGAAGAGCUGCAAAGCCUUGCCCAUCUUCCCCGUGUCUUUGCCCCCGGAAGGCCUUCCAUCCUCCAGUGCACACAGCAACAAGCAGGCUCAGCCCAGCUGCGCUCCUGCCCCGGGUUUGGCUGCCAAACUGCAGAAGACUGCUGGAAGCUGCAAGACUGACGGGCCAAGCACAGACAAAGAGGGGAUCUUCCAACCUGCCUCUCUUCUGCAGAAAUGUGCUGAGAGUGAGAGACCAUCAGGGAAGCGACAGAAGAAAACCAAACACCUGGAAGUGCAGCAGAGCAGAAAGAGGUCGUUCCUGAGAAUGGACGACCCCUUUGAUGCUGCAGGUACCUGUGAUGUGGUCACCGUACCCAUGAAGGUCGUGAAGCUCUCAGAGCCCACCUUGCACUGCAGCUCCUCGCCGGCCAAACCCUACUUGCAGAAGCUGCCCAAGCAGCAGCACCCCCCCAGGCUGCUUGAGUGAUGCCACUGAAUCUGAGCUUUGAGAUGGGCCUCUGCUGCCACGAUGCACCAUCCAAUUGUGUCUCUCUCAGCAGACACAAUGCUGGCUCUCACUCUCAGAUGUGCUGAAGAGACUGAAAACAUCACACGUCUCUCCCAACAACUUCCCCUAUGUGGAAGCACUACCAUCACGGAGGCAGACAUUUACAACCUUCUCUCUGCCAACUGCUCUCUUGUCCUACGGACCUCAGGUGUUUAACACAGAAAGCACAGAGCUCCUGGACUAGACAGAGCUCACAGGUGAGCCCCAGGCUUUGCUGGGCUCCUCUCUUCGCUGCUGGCAUCCACACUAGGAGCUUCCCUUUAUCACCCACCCGUGACUCUUCAAUGCUUUUCAUUAUUGUUUUCAUGUCAUUUCUUUAUAGUGUUGUUUGUACUAGUCAGAGUUACUUCCUUAGGCAUACGUGUUCAAAUUACAUUGUUACUGAAUAGAAAAGGCACUGUUUGAUAUUAAAAUAGCUUUCCUUUUGAAAAGAAAUCAGAAUUGCACGUGGUUUGUUUAGGAGAUAGGAUUGAAGGAGGCACAUGGUUAUGUUGUUGUUGUUCUCAAUAAAAUUAAUUGAAAAU